rnacentral:lncRNA from 1 species
GCUGAAAAAAUAAUUGAAAGAAAUUGCAAAACUCAAACGAACAAUUAAUAGCCUUUUCUCUUUAAAUAAAGGGUUCAAGAUCUUGAAGCCCAAGUUGAGAUCAAUGGAAGCACCAACAUCACUAUUCUUUGAAACCAAUGUGUUCUUUUUCUUGCACAAGUAAUUAAUUGCCACCCUCCUUCCUUUUCUUCUCAAUUAGUAGAAGUAAAAACCAUAGUCUCAAACCCUCCCCUCAAAAAUUAAAAAAAAAAAAAAAACAGAAAAGAAAACACUUCAACUUCUCAAUUUCACAAAUUUUCUACCAUAAUUUCAAAAAAUAUAGUUCUUUAGCUUUUCAACUUCACAAUUCUUCUGAUCAUAGUUUCACCCUCUCCCCCCCCCUCCCAAAAAAAAAAAAUUAACACAGGUUUUUAGCUUCUUAAUUUCACAAAUUUUCUUUCUUUUUCUUGUUUAAUCCUUGUCAUGUCUAAUCCUCUCGAG